rnacentral:rRNA from 1 species
GACGAACGCUGGCGGCGUGCUUAACACAUGCAAGUCGAACGAUGAAGCUAGAGCUUGCUCUGGUGGAUUAGUGGCGAACGGGUGAGUAACACGUGAGUAACCUGCCCCGAACUCUGGGAUAACUGCUGGAAACGGUAGCUAAUACCGGAUAUGACCAAUGAAGGCAUCUUCUGUUGGUGGAAAGAAUUUCGGUUCGGGAUGGACUCGCGGCCUAUCAGCUUGUUGGUGAGGUAACGGCUCACCAAGGCGACGACGGGUAGCCGGCCUGGGAGGGUGACCGGCCACACUGGGACUGAGACACGGCCCAGACUCCUACGGGAGGCAGCAGUGGGGAAUAUUGCACAAUGGGCGCAAGCCUGAUGCAGCAACGCCGCGUGAGGGAUGACGGCCUUCGGGUUGUAAACCUCUUUUAGUAGGGAAGAAGCGAAAGUGACGGUACCUGCAGAAAAAGCACCGGCUAACUACGUGCCAGCAGCCGCGGUAA